CACGUAGGGCGCAAGCGUUGUCCGGAAUUAUUGGGCGUAAAGAGCUCGUAGGCGGUCUGUUACGUCUGCUGUGAAAACCCGGGGCUUAACCCUGGGCUUGCAGUGGAUACGGGCAGACUAGAGGCAGGUAGGGGAGAAUGGAAUUCCCGGUGUAGCGGUGAGAUGCGCAGAUAUCGGGAGGAACACCGGUGGCGAAGGCGGUUCUCUGGGCCUGACCUGACGCUGAGGAGCGAAAGCGUGGGGAGCGAACAGG
rnacentral:rRNA from 1 species